GGUUUCGUGGUGUAGUUGGUUAUCACAUGUCCUUUACACGGACAAGGCCUCCGGUUCGAACCCGGACGGAAUCA